AUGGCAUGAUGUGGACAUUUUCUGAUGAGGUCCUUCAAUCUUUCCCAUGACUCAUUGAACUGCUCACCAUCUUGUUGUGAGAAAGUAGUGAGAGCUCGCCUU
rnacentral:snoRNA from 1 species